UUCUUCGUGGUCAAGUCGUAAAGACACUUGUCUCUCACUCUGGAGUCCUGGGGUCAAUACCCGGUCGAGGAGCUAG